UCUCUCUCCCCUUUUCUCUGAAAACCUCUCCCUUCCUCCCCCCCCCUCUCUCUAUCUGAAAACCUCUUUCCCUCUCUCAUCGCCAUUGAGAGAAUGAUUCAAGCGUACUGUAAGUGCGUAGCGCACCAGUCUCUGUUGAAAUUUUCGUGCGUUCUUGCCUCUCUCGAUAAUGGAAGCGAUCUUACACGGCUAGGAUCGAACGUCUCCACAAAGGGCGUGGGGCUUCUUGUUUAGGAGAGGCACCAUUGGAAGGUCAUCCGUUAGGUGUGCACAUCUAAGAUGAACUUGGGUGAUGAGGUUGACUUGGAAGACUGUUUCUCGACUGAAUAAAAUUAGUGCUGCAGAGGUACGUGGAUCUUACAUUUCUUUGCUGCUUUGAAUCAAAAUUUUGUUUUGUCACAGUUAUUCAGUGUUGUUUCCAUUUAAUGUUUGAUGCCAUCUGAAUAUUCUGAACAAUAAGAGUAGGCUAACUUUACAUAUCAGUGAUCUGCAGUGAUUGGUUGUCCAAUGUUCUGUGUUGUGUGGAUCGUUAGGAUGUUGAUGAUUGAUCAUCUGAUUGCCA